rnacentral:rRNA from 1 species
CACACGCCCGUCACACCAUGGAAGUCUGCUGCACCAGAAGUAGGUAGUCUAACCGCAAGGGGGCGCCUACCACGGUGUGGCCGAUGACUGGGGUG